UUUAUUGGGGCAUACACACGUUUGUUUGUAGGAUUAAAAAAUGGUAUCAGAUAGCACAACAGUGCAAUCUUAAGGAUGACCUGGGGACUUCACCUCCAGGUCAUUUGUAAAAGAAGAAAAAACUCAGCAUCAUCAGAGAUAAAGAAUAAAGAUAAAUAUGAAUAAGGACACAACGCCUCUACUCAAUUGUGACAUGUUCUGAUUCGUGUGACUUGAGAAUUUGGAGAACAAAUGAAGUAAAAGAGAGAGGGAGAGAAGAAAUGAUAGGAUAUGCCGAAAGGAGUACAGAAAAACAAGAGCCUCCUGUUCUCAGGCCAAUAGAAAACACGUCAAUUGGAAAUGAUGCUAUUAGAUCUGGCACUACUACUCCUGACAAAGUACUCAUU